rnacentral:rRNA from 1 species
UACCCGCCAGGGUACUACGAGCAUAGCUUAAAACCCAAAGGACUUGGCGGUGUCUCAGACCCACCUAGAGGAGCCUGUUCUAGAACCGAUAAUCCCCGUUAAACCUCACCACUUCUUGUUAAUCCCGCCUAUAUACCGCCGUCGCCAGCUUACCCCAUGAGGGUUAAACAGUAAGCAAAAUGGACAAACCCCAGAACGUCAGGUCGAGGUGUAGCGCACGAAGUGGGAAGAAAUGGGCUACAUUUUCUAUAACAGAAAAUAACGAAUGGUCUACUGAAACACAUACCUGAAGGAGGAUUUAGCAGUAAAAAGCAAAUAGAG